rfam:Schistosoma curassoni strain Dakar, Senegal genome assembly, scaffold: SCTD_scaffold0000129
AUCCAUCUGAAGAGUCCCAAAUGGGACGAAAUGCGCGUCAAAUUGGAU